CCGGCGCACUCCCGCCCCGGCGCACCCUGCUCCCCGGCGCGUACCCAGGGGCCACGAUUUUGGCUGGGCGAAAGCGGCCCGCUCCCGCCUUUCUGAGUGCGCUGAUUACAUCUACCGGAGACACCUUCCCUCCCCUUGGGGAUCCCAACUCUCAGCUCUUCAGAAAGCAAUGACAAGGCGUCUGACUCAUCCUCCUGCACCUCUUUUCAAUUACUGACUUAAACCAGGUGAUCUAGAAACUCCAGUCCCUCUUCUUCCUGCCGAUCGCUGCAGCAACCUACUGAGCCGGCCAGAGAACCUUUGCCUUCAUAG